rnacentral:rRNA from 1 species
CAGAGGGGGCAAGCGUUAUUCGGAAUUAUUGGGCGUAAAGGGCGCGUAGGCGGCCUAGCAAGUGACGGGUGAAAUCCCUCGGCUUAACCGAGGAACUGCCUGUCAGACUGCUGGGCUUGAGACCGGGAGAGGUGAGUGGAAUUCCCAGUGUAGCGGUGAAAUGCGUAGAUAUUGGGAGGAACACCAGUGGCGAAGGCGGCUCACUGGACCGGUACUGACGCUGAGGCGCGAAAGCGUGGGGAGCAAACAGGAUUAGAUACCCUGGUAGUCCACGCCGUAAACGAUGAGUGCUUGGUGUAGCGGGUAUCGACCCCUGCUGUGCCGAAGUCAACACAUUAAGCACUCCGCCUGGGGAGUACGGUCGCAAGACUG